UUAAAUAUUUAUGGGCUUUUGUUGGAUUCAUUGGGACUUAGAAGCGAUGACGGGCGUUGUUACUGACGAAAUGCUCUGGGAAGUUAGAAACAAAUUUUGAUCCAGAGAUACCCUAAUGGGUUAACCCAUUAAACGCAUUUGUAAUUUAUAAAUAAUGCGUGGCAAACCUGGUGAACUGAAACAUCUUAGUAGCCAGAGGAAAAUAAAGCAAUAGCGAUUUCCUUAUUAGCGGUGAGCUAACCGGAAACAGCCUAAACCUUUUUGGUGUAGUGGGGUAAUAUUUUUUCUUGUCUUUUUUAAAGUGAAUUUUUUGAAAUCAAAAAUCAGAGAAGGUUGAUAAUCCUGUAAUUUUAUUUAGAUAAUUUUGUUAUUCCCGAGUAGCUUAAGACAUGUGUAAUCUUAUGUGAAUCCGCGAGAAACAUCUCGUAAGGCUAAAUAUUACUAAGUCACCAAUAGUGAAUGAGUACUGUGAAGGAAAUGUGAAAAGAACCCUGAAAAGGGAGUGAAAUAGAAUAUGAAAGCAAGAGCUUACAUGCAGUAGGAGGGCUAUUAAUUAAGCCUGACUUCGUGCCUGUUGAAGAAUGAGCCGGCGAUUUAUGGGUAAUGGCUGGGUUAAGUCUUUUUGAGUCGAAGCCAUAGCAAAAGCGAGUUUUAAUAGCGUUUGUCAUUAUUCAUAGACCCGAACCCAAGUGAUCUAACCAUGACCAGGGUGAAGCAAAGGUGAUACUUUGUGGAGGCCCGAACUCACUGAUGUUGAAAAAUCAAGAGAUGAGUUGUGGUUAGCGGAGAAAUUCUAAUCGAACUUGGAGCUAGCUGGAUCUCUCCGAAAUGCGUUGAGGCGCAGCGGUUAACUAAGGUCUGUUUAGGGGUAAAGCACUGUUUUGGUAAGGGCUACUUUUGUAGUACUAAGUCGUAGCAAACUAAGAAUACUAAACAAUGUUUAUUCAGUUAACCAGUGAGACUGUGGGGGAUAAGCUUCAUAGUCAAGAGGGUAAUAGCCCAGAUCACCAGAUAAGGCCCCCAAAUAACUACUAAGUGAAAAAGGAUGUAUUAACACAUAGACGACCAGGAGGUUUGCUUAGAAGCAGCCAUCUUCCUUUAAAAAUUGCGUAAUAGCUUACUGGUUAAGUGUUUUUGCGCCGAUAAUGAAUGGGGCUAAGUAGUUUGCCGAAGCUGUGAGUAUAUAACGGUAGGAGAGCGUUCUGUUUGGGCUGAAGCAGUAAUGAAAAUAAUUGUGGACUAUACAGAAGUGAGAAUGUCGGCUUAAGUAACGAAAACAUUGGUGGGAAUCCAAUGCUCCGAAAACCUAAGGUUUCCUUCUCAAGGUUCGUCCAAGAAGGGUUAGUCAGAUUCUAAGAUGAAGCCUAAUGGUUUAUUCGAUGAUAAACAGGUUAAUAUUCCUGUACUACAUAGUGGAAUCAAUUAAGGAGGACAAAGUAAGUUAGGUUUGCCAAAGAUUGGUUGUUUUGGUUUAAGCUUUCGAGGUGUUGAUGGAUAUAAUUAAAAAAUAUUCUGAGCUAAGAAGUGAAAUUAAGAUGCUACGGUGUUGAAAAAACUGAUAUUAAGCUUUCUAGAAAAUUCCUUGCAAUGGCAUUUCCGUGUAGCUGUACCGUAAACCGACACAGGUGGGUAGGUAGAAAAUACUAAGGAGAGCGAGUUAAAUCUUUUUAAGGAACUCGGCAAAUUAGCCUUGUAACUUCGGGAGAAAAGGUGCCUUAUGAGAAUAAGGUUGCAGUGAAUAGUUCCAGGCGACUGCUUACCAAAAGCACAGGUCUCCGCUAAGUUGUAAAACGAUGUAUGGGGGCUGAUGCCUGCCCAGUGCUGGAAGGUAAAAGAAACUUGUUAGUGUUUACACAAAGCUAGUGACUGAAGCCCCAGUAAACGGCGGUGAUAACUAUAAUCAUUUUAAAGUAGCGAAAUUCCUUGUCGGGUAAGUUCCGACCUGCACGAAAGGCAUAACGAUCUGGAAACUGUCUCAAAAAGAUUCUCGGUGAAAUAGAAUUAACUGUGAAGAUGCGGUUAACUUGCACUUGGACAGAAAGACCCUAUGAAGCUUUACAGUAGCCUGAUAUUGGUUUCGGACUUUUUUUGCGCAGAAUAGGUGGGAGGCGUUGAAGCAUUUUUUUGGAAAUGUGGAGCCAUCAGUGAGAUACCACUCUGAAAAAGUUAGAGAUCUAAAGAUAUUUCCUUAAUAAAGGAUAUUUGACAGUGUCAGGUGGGCAGUUUUACUGGGGCGGUAGCCUCCCAAAAGGUAACGGAGGCGUACAAAGGUUUUCUCAAACAGGCCGGAAAUUUGUUGGAGAGUGUAAAGGCAUAAGAAAGCUUAACUGUUAGACCUAUAAGUCAAGCAGGGACGAAAGUCGGUCUUAGUGAUCCGGCAGUUCCAUAUGUGAGGGCUGUCGCAUAACAGAUAAAAGUUACUCUAGGGAUAACAGGCUGAUCUCCUCCAAGAGUUCACAUCGACGAGGAGGUUUGGCACCUCGAUGUCGGCUCAUCGCAUCCUGGGGCAGUAGUAUGUCCCAAGGGUUGGGCUGUUCGCCCAUUAAAGCGGUACGUGAGCUGGGUUCAGAACGUCGAGAGACAGUUCGGUCCAUAUCCGGUGCAAGCGUAGGAGUAUUGAAAGGACCUUUUUUUAGUACGAGAGGACCGAAAAAGACACACCUCUGGUGUACCAGUUCUUAUGCCAAUAGGAUAUGCUGGGUAGUCAAGUGUGGAGUGAAUAACUGCUGAAAGCAUAUAAGUAGGAAGUCCACCUUAAGAUUAGUACUCUUUAGGUCACAGCUAGACUAGCUGUUUAUAGGUAUUAAGUGUAAGUUCAGUAAUGAAUUUAGCUGAGAUAUACUAAUAGACCUUUUAUUUUUCGUU
rnacentral:rRNA from 1 species